GCAAGUCGAGCGGUAGAUUUUCUAGCUUGCUAGAAAAUUGAGAGCGGCGAACGGGUGAGUAACACGUUGGAAUCUGCCCCCAAGUCAGGGAUAGCCAUUGGAAACGAUGAUUAAUACCGGAUGUGCUCUACGGAGUAAAGAUUUAUCGCUUGGGGAGGAUCCUGCGUACUAUCAGCUUGUUGGUAAGGUAACGGCUUACCAAGGCUAUGACGGUUAACUGGUCUGAGAGGAUGAUC
rnacentral:rRNA from 1 species